rnacentral:rRNA from 1 species
AGUGAACGCUGGCGGCAGGCCUAACACAUGCAAGUCGAACGGCAGCACGGCAGUAGCAAUACUGUGGGUGGCGAGUGGCGGACGGGGUGAGGAAUACAUCGGGAUCUACCCUGUUGUGGGGGAUAACGUAGGGAAACUUACGCUAAUACCGCAUAAGAACUGAGGUUGAAAGCGGCGGACCGCAAGGCGUCGCGCGAUUGGAUGAACCGAUGUCCGAUUAGCUAGUUGGCGGGGUAAAGGCCCACCAAGGCGACGAUCGGUAGCUGGUCUGAGAGGACGACCAGCCACACUGGAACUGAGACACGGUCCAGACUCCUACGGGAGGCAGCAGUGGGGAAUAUUGGACAAUGGGCGCAAGCCUGAUCCAGCCAUGCCGCGUGGGUGAAG